GUCUCCUUCACUGCGUUGCAAACUUCUGACUGAAAUCAAUAUACCCUCUGCAAGGGUAUAAUAAAUAACACUGUUAAAGUACAUAUCGAAAUAGGCCACGUUAAAUAAGGCUGCGUUUACACUGGGGUUUAGUUUCGUGUUUAUCGACAUGACUUCGGGUCAUGGUAUUGGGGCAUACUAAUAUGAAAACUAACACUAGGAAAUUAAUUGUCUUUUUAAAAACUUCUGAUAUCUACCAAAUAGAUACACUUUCUAAUUUUUUUUAUUUUGGACGCUUCAUCAAAAUCGUACAGAUAAUUGCCCACACACACAUAUUGUAUUGUGGCGUGCCGACGGACAAAAUGGCUAGAUGAACUCGUCUAGUGAUGCUGAUCAAGAAUAUAUAUACUACACUGCGUUGGAAAGCAUUAUACCCUCAGCAAGGGUAUACCAAUUGACAUAACGCUGUAGCCGAGUACCUCGACUAUCAGAUACCCAGAUUAAAGGGUGCGCAAAGGAGAUGAAGAUAUUCAAGCAGCAAAGCGACUUUUUUUGAGAUUACAAGGCGCCACCUAGCGGCGAUUACCACAUUUGGUCAUAUGGGCGUCAGACAGAUUUAAGCGUUGUGGGCGUUUGUGUGCGUUAGAGUGGCAAUCUCUUUUCCAGGUCCAUCAAUAGUCUCAUCAAUUUUGGUCAUUUUUGGAUCUGCAAGUUCACCACCAACGCAAGGAGAGUUAUGUUAAGAUCGCCAGCUACAAGGACAUGUCUAUGAACGAUGGUUAAAGGACCUAGAACGUGCAUAAAGUUUCAGCAGACCACACCAAAUUUUCAUAUCAUGCAAAACCAUAUUUCCCUAUAAAACAAAGUUUGUAAGGAAAAUCGGUGGGAAACUGCAAUGUUUAACUGAAAAGAACACGAUAUUGUCAUAUGAAUAAACAUGUAU